UACGUAGGGUGCGAGCGUUGUCCGGAAUUACUGGGCGUAAAGCGCACGUAGGCGGAUUUGUAAGUCAGGGGUGAAAGUCCCGGGGCUCGAACCCCGGAACUGCCUUUGAUACUGCAAAUCUCGAGUCCGGAAGAGGUGAGUGGAAUUCCUAGUGUAGAGGUGAAAUUCGUAGAUAUUAGGAAGAACACCAGUGGCGAAGGCGGCUCACUGUCCGGUACUGACGCUGAGGUGCGAAAGCGUGGGGAGCAAACAGG
rnacentral:rRNA from 1 species